rnacentral:rRNA from 1 species
UACGAAGGGGGCUAGCGUUGUUCGGAAUUACUGGGCGUAAAGCGCACGUAGGCGGAUCGAUCAGUCAGGUGUGAAAUCUCGGGGCUUAACUCCGAAACUGCAUUUGAUACUGCGGUGCUUGAGGACUGGAGAGGAGACUGGAAUUUACGGUGUAGCGGUGAAAUGCGUAGAUAUCGUAAGGAAGACCAGUGGCGAAGGCGGGUCUCUGGACAGUUCCUGACGCUGAGACACGAAGGCCAGGGGAGCAAACGGG